ensembl:misc_RNA Metazoa_SRP Metazoan signal recognition particle RNA
GCCAGGCGUGAUGGCUCACGCCUGUAAUCCCAACAUUUUGGGAGGCCGAGGAGGGUGGAUCACCUGAGGUCAGGAGUUCUAGACCAGCCUGGCCAACAUGGUGAAACCCCGUCUCUA